AUGGUGGAGGUGGUGAUGUCGUCCCCGGAAAAGCUCGUUUUUCGUCGGCCGGAAAACGUGGAUCUUGCGAUCUUUUUUAAUCUUGGUCCCAAUUCGCCUUUCCCGUCCUCUUUCCCUUCUAUUUUAGUUUUCGAUUGUGAAAAUUGUGGUGGUAGAACUGGUAUGGAGGUUUUGGGCAGCAUAGGACAACAUGGUUUUGGACUAGUUUUGGGCAGAUUUGCAGUAAGAAAGUAG